AUUUGCAUUUUCCAGUGAGCCAUAUGUUUACUUGCCAAAUAGCCUCAAAAUGCCAUUUGGAUUUGUCUCCCAUCUCUGGCACAAUUUAAUAACAUUGACCAGAAGUAGAACUUGGUACUCCUUAAAAGCAAUGUCAUAGAAAACUAUCUCACAAGUUAUUGGCUAACUGGGUAUAAGAGAAAGUAUUACUGAGGUUGCAUCAAAUAAUUCCUCAGAGGUGAUAGAUGCAAGUCACUAUUGACCCUUAAUGCCAGGCUUAGGGGUGCUGAUCCUCCAUGCAGUAGUGGAAAAUCCCAAAUAACUACAGUCAGGCCUCUGCAUUUGCAGUUCAGCACCCACAGUUUCAACUAACCAGUUUGUGUAGUACUGUAAUACAUAUUUACUUGAGAAAAAAAAUACAUGUAACCAGCUGGCACAGUUAAGCCUGUGUUUUACAAGAGUCAACUAAUUUAAAUGCCAGGCUAAAGCAAAUACAGUUGGAAAACCAUUGCCUCCCCAAAAUCAGUCUUGUAAAGUCAAAGUUUUGCAAGAUGAGCACACUUCAAUACAGAACUCAGUGUCUCCUAAAAGUAAAAGAAUUCCUUCUCUUGCUGCUUCCUCCUGGGUCUCUCUUUUUUUUCCCCCCAAGCAUGCUUUUUAUAGAAGAAGCCUUAAAUUACCUCUGAAUUUGGUGGCCCUAACUCAGUGAGUUUCUAGCAGAUUCCUCAUUGGGAUUGAGUCAUCUUGGUUCUUUUUUAUUAGUAGUUAUUCAUAAAGGGAAUUCAUAUAUAGAGUGAAGAAACUGGAUAAUAGUUGUUUUUUUGGUUUGGGAAAGUCUUAACAUUACUCCAGACCCCUGACCCUGGCCUUUGGGCUGAUAGAGAAUCAACUAGCAGCAGUUCUCUCAAAGCCAGUAGACUCAGCACACAUUUAAUGCACACACCCAAAUCUUCCAUUUGCCAUUAAAAAUUAUUCAGCACCUUGAUGAUAGCUAAAGAUCAAAACAUUGUUGGGCCAGUUGCACUGUCUGCUUUGCUUUUCAACAUUUAAUGUCUUAAAUGCAUACAUUUGCAUGUUGCCUUUAGCUGUUGUGUGUAUGUUUUAUUUCCCCAAGCUACAUGUAAACUCUUUGAGAGCAAAGACUGUUAAUAACUUUUAACACUACUUUCAAGAUGGCCCAGUAAUGUUAGUAUGCAUGCACCUUAAAUGAUUAUGGAUAAAUGGGUUCAUGAGAUCAUAGGCAGAUGGGCCACAUAGCUUAGAUCUUAUAUGUAGUGUGUUCCUCCAAUUAGAUUUAGGCUUAUUUCCAAAGUAGUGACUGAAAGAGUUUGUGCCCCUUCUACCUUAAUUGAAAAUUUUGGGGGUUGGGGGGGGGGAGGAAAUGGCCUUAUUAGUGAAAGUAGUAGCUGUUUAUGAAGUACUCCUUUCAAUCCUCAAAUGGUAUUAGCCUUAUUUUGCAGUUUGUGGAAGUAGGCUCUAGAUGUUAAAGUGACAGGCCCAGAACUUGAAUCUGCAUCUUCUAGUGACAAAUUUCUGUUUAUUUUACUACUAUAUUGCUUUUUAAAAAGCCAUGCUUUUUCCAGUGGGAGAUUGUUAAGAGGAAGUCUUUGACCCAAGCGGUCACCACUUGCAAUAUCCACCUGAUGCCACUAGGGUGUCCCAUGGUGCCAUCUUUGAUCCAUGCUCUUAUCCAAGUUGCUGGGGGCUGUUUCAAAGUUGUUAAUCUAGUCACUGCAGCUAUGGCCCAGAGCCUAGCUACAAGACAGUGGGGUGCGUAGCUUAACAGUCUGCAUUACACUUAGCCCUGAGCACACAGCCUUUUAAGCAUCAAUUUUGAUAUUCAGCAGCCCUAGAUGAUAAUCUGCAGUGAACCAGUGAGAUAAAGUCUCAUUCAUUAUUAGAGCAAGUAACCCCUUUAGUGCUCUUUUUAAAUACUUUGUAUAAAUGUCUGAUUGCUCUAUAAUUAUUUCUUUUCAAGUUUUGAUUUCUCUGCUGGAGGAGAUUCUUAAAAGUUUCCUAGUGGUUAGUACAGUUCCUGACAUUUAACAAAGGCUUGAUAAAUAUUUGUCUACUGAAGUAGGAUAGUAGUUAUGGCAUAAUUCUACACAUAGGCCAUUUUUCUAAGGAGAGCCUACAUUAUUAGGACGUCUUUGUUUUGUUUUCAAGCUGAUUAGAGUUCAUUAUAAACUAGGAAGUUAGUCCCUCGGGGGUCCUCCUGGCUGGCCUUUCAAAAUCUUGAGAAUUUCACUCUAGGUUGGAAUUGGCACAGCCUGACUCUGGGACUGUCUCUGAGCUGAUUCAGAGACAGUCCCAAACACCUCUAGGACCAGGUGUUUACCAGGACUCUUAGAACACGAGAAGAGGCCAAAUUAAACUUUACUGAUUGGAGAUGUUGGACUUGGGGUGCAUUUUCCCCUCUCUCCUCCUAUUUUCCCUGGUAAGUUUCCAUCCCCAAAUUCCUGUGGUUUUAGGGAGAUCAUCGUGGAGCAAAUCCCAAACCUACUUCUAGGAUUCAAGGUUUCCUUUUAUAUUUUCUGGGUGAGAGGGCUGAUCGCAGAUUGUAGUACCCACUUGGAUCCCUCCACAUGUUUUGCGUAAGUGAUCAGAAUAACCCAACUUUAGCUAAAUAAACUUGUGUGUAGAACAUACAUGGGUCUUCCUAAGGCUUCAUGAGUUUUGCUAAAUGUAUUACAUAGGUGACUGGACAAAUUAAGAAUAAGUUAUCAAUUCCGAAGCAAACAAAAAAAAAAUCCUCUUGUCCCUGAGAAGCUGAACUAAGGCUUUUUUAAAUCUCAUUUCAUAAACCUAAUUUUAAUAAAUUUGCCUGAAGAUAUUUAAUAUGUGAAGAGUAUACCAUGCCUCUCCUGUCUAAAGUAUAAAUCACUAAAAGGCAGAGCUAGUGUGUAUCACAACCCCCAGGAUUCCUAUUUCUGGGAUUGCCUUAAACCUGAUGCUCAGGAAGCGUUUUCACCGGCUUGAGUUGAGUACUUGCCAUCUGCUCUCUGAGCAUUCACUGCUGAAUGAAAGGGGAAAGAAAGUGAAAUGAGAGGUUGGGGGGUGUGGUGAGGAAGCUGGAAAAAUAAGAGGAAACAGCUGGGAACUGGGGAGUCGGGGGCAUUCACUUAAGGUCAGUAAAACAGCAGAGGACAGGGUCAGGCCUUGGGGGUAGAGGACUAAUUAACUAAUGCCAAUUAGAUGAGAAGAGUCUUAUGUACUUUGUUAAAAGAGACUAAAAUUACUAUAAAGGAAAAAUCUAGUUUCUCUGAAUCUGACCCAUCUUUCUUGUGUACCACUGUCAAUCGUUCAAGUCAAAAUCUAUCCUGCUUCUAGGAAUUUUGGUCCUCUUUCUUCAAGUAAAGCAAAGAGCUUUCUGCUACUACUCUGGGCAACCAAGGGUGAAAUGCUUCAAGUAGUACUUGUGGAUAGCAGACCAAUGAAAGGGAGAGGAAGGACCACCAACUCAGAAAGAGGGAGACAUAAAAUCUGCAUAUAUUAAUAUGCUAACUCUUUGGAGACCUCUGAGAAACAGAAUCCUGUUUGAACUCUGGACUAUCCUCAAGUCUGGUAUGAAGAAGAAAUUGAAGAGAUGUUUUUGUUGGGAGUUUGGUUAAAGAAUAUUCACUUGAUAUAUGUAUGUUUUUGUUCUGCCCUACUCUUCACAUUAACAUUUGGACAGGC
ensembl:lncRNA